CUUGUGCCUCUUCUCCCGACAUUGUUCGUGCAGGGAGAUCGACAAGGAUUUGGAUGCGAGUAUAAGUAGAACAUGGGUGGCUGCAGUAUGGUGGGAGAUUUUUGGAUAAACUUGAGGAUAGGGAUUCGGAUUCAGGACGAGCACUUCGACAUAGAGGUUGAUUAGCUCGAUCUACAUCGGAAG